rnacentral:piRNA from 1 species
UAUUGUUGUGUGAACGUGCUUCCGAUU